rnacentral:lncRNA from 10 species
AGUCAGAAGCCGGAAGGGUCUCACUCAACUCAUCCCCAAGCAGUCCUCGGGGAGCACCACGGUGAGCUGUGAGGAGCCAGCCCAGCACGGCACACACAACGAACAGAGAAGGAGCUUCUACUGCUUAACCAGAUGUAGAAACUGACGCACGCACAGAGAGGUCACGUGUGAUAUGGUUUGGACGUUGUCCCCUCCAAAUCUCAUGCUGAAAUGUGAUCCC